rnacentral:misc_RNA from 1 species
UGUGGAGCGCGUUUUCAGCG